rnacentral:sRNA from 1 species
GGCCUUUUGGGAGCUUACUAGCUUAGGGUUCCAUCGGAACUUUGAAGUUAAGCGAGUUCGCGCGAGAGCAAUCCCAUGAUGGGUGACCCACUAGGAAGUUCUCGUGUGAGUUCCCAGAAACAAAACCGUGAGGGCGUGGUCGGGGCUCAAAGUGGAUAAUAUCGUGAUACGGCGGAGUCGAGCCCAGGAUGUGGUGGGGGCCCGGGUCGGGAUGUGACAAUUUGGUAUCAGAGCCAAUCCUAGCCGGAAGUGUGCCGACGAGGACAUUGGGCCCCUAAAGGGGGUGGAUUGUAACAUCCCACAUCGCCUAGGGGAGUGGAUCAUCUAUGCCUUAUAUGUAUAUUCCCAUCUCUACCUAGGACGAGGCCUUUUGGCAGCUCACUAGCUUCGGGUUUCAUCGGAACUCCGAAGUUAAGCGGGUUCGCGCGAGAGCAAUCCCAUGAUGGGUGACCCACUAGGAAGUUCUCGUGUGAGUUCUCA